ensembl:snoRNA small nucleolar RNA SNORA5
UGCAGCCUUGUCAAAUUCAGUGUGUUCUUUACAGUGGACCUCACUGGCCAAAGUGGCUGCCACAGAGACUGUAGUUCAUGGGCCCCAACUCAUUACAUCAUGGAGUGUGGGGAUAAAUAAGUGCUACAGACAAAU